UUUUCGCCGACACCGAUGCCGUCAACUGUCGACCCCGUCGAGUUCGCCAUCGCCGGCCAAACCAACGGCGGCCACCUGGAAACCACAACCCAGUUUCACAGACACGUAACGCAUUGCGUAUGGAAAAGAAUAGAAAACUGAUCGAAAGAAAUCGCAAAGAAUGUUUACCCCAAGACCGUUGGCCCGCCCGCCGUAGAAAAGCCUGAUAGGUAGUUUAUCGGCUCGUCAUUCUGACGUAGUAUGGUGGGCAACCCCAGUUUGCGCCUGACGAUCGGCUCUGACGUCACUGAGGUGCCACCAAUCUCGCGCCCUCCACUCUCCACCAAGGAUGCUACGUACACAGCGAAAAGAGGACGGGCUGCUGCUGCACGCGCUGCUAUGUGGAGAAGGGUGCACCGGCCUGCACACAGGGUUGCGCUGACGCGAUUCGCAGUAUUUUCGAAUCUAUCGCUAGCAGCUGGACGUGUAUAUACGUGGUGGUACUUGGAGCUAGAUCUAUGCGCCUGACAGAGAGAGCAGCACCUCGACGUCCUCAUCCCCCGGAACUUUCAUCGUCCCGUUUUCUGCACUCCUGCAGGGACCUACAUACAUAUAUAUACAGUGAGAGAAAGAGAGAGGGAUUCACCUGUACCGGACAAUGUCUGCAAGUGAAGCGGAAAAAAUAGCUUCUAUCGAUCGUUUAAAAAAUCUUCGAGACGGAGGAUGCGACAAAAUGUAUACCUAUCGGUACUGUAAUCAGGAAAAAUACACAGCCUCUCCUGCAUGUUGGCAGAAUAUCCGUCGGUUGAGAGUAGAUGGCUGACCCUCAAACGGGUCAGUGAAUGCUAAUUCCACGACCCACCCUUUCUCCCCUGGUAACCGCAGUGUACUUCCUUUGGGCAGUUUCGGAACAGCUCCAAAAAUUCAUUGCCGUAGAAAUUAUCAACGUAAAUGAAUGUUGUGCGAUCGGGAUACGUGUCAAUACAUCGUUAAUGAGUCAAUACUGUAAUUUAAUUAAAGAUAUUUGCCAUUUGUACGUUCAUAAUUAAGAUAGAAAAGUGUGACUACGUAAAUACUAAAGUCUGUCAAGUUUUUGUCUUGAUUACUUUAAAAAUUAACUUGAAAAUAACAAACAAGAAUUGUUUAAUUUAUAUCUGGUAAAACAAAGACAAGAACUUUUGUAUAUUACAUUGUACACCGAUAUAUUUAUAAUUAUUGACCGAUAUAUUUAUAAUUUUAGAAUUUAGACUUUAGAAUUGACACUAAUUUGUAAAGCUAGAGUAACACACUAGCUCGGCGUAUCUACCUAGAUCUAAAACGUCGUUUAAUAUUUCAAUCUGUGUAACGACGGGAAAAUUAAUGUACGCUCACGGCUUCCAAUUAAUUAAACGCGCCACCGUGUCAUUACAAAUAUCGAAGCGCGCUCGCGUUUGCCUGUAUCAUUGUAAAACUCGUCGAGAGAGUUUCACGCGCUUUUAAUUCAGCGCCGUUGCCAUUCCAGACUGCUUCUCGUAGGCGUUUCGCGUAUCCAGAUCGAACGAAUGAAAUUUUACCGCGUCCCGAGAUUAAUAUUCUUUUAAUGCACCGACGACGAUUGCCGAGAACACGUAGCAAGAACUUUAAAAUGAUAUUCAGUCGGGGUUAUUGCAUUGACUGCGAAGCACAGCAGGGCAAGUCUCGAUGGAGCUCUGGUCUUUGAAAAGUUAACCAGAAUCAUCCGUGGAUCCUUUUCUCUCGUUGAUCCUUCACGUUGCAUUCUCGCAGUCGACGCAAUGCCAUGUGCACCGUUAAUGAUACACCCCUCGCCUUCCCUUUUUACUCGUCGCGCUUCAUUCAAGAGGCAACCGCGUACACUUCUUUCAGUAUUAUUUAAUACACAUUGACGGUUUUCAAGUUGCGUUUAACUAGGUAGUGGACGCUAUAGCUUUAAAAUACUAUUGAAAUUUGAAGUUCGACAUUGUUGUAUACUUUAUAUGUGUAAAGAAUAACUUAUAUAUUACUCAAUGAAUCGUGGAAUUUGUAUUAUGAUAAUGGAACGUAGACAACCGAAAUCUCAUUCAUCAAUUAUUCAAAGAUGUGUAAUGAGAAGAGGAGAUUUCCCCAAGCGAUCAAUAAUGUGUUAAUUACGCGGCGUUGCCUCUCUGAUACGUUAGAAAUAGAAUACUUUUUUAUCAUGGUCAAUGAGAUCUGUAAAACAACAUCAUUUAUAUCCUCGACCUUCUUUAUGUACAAUGUUGCUCUAUUAGUUUCUAAGGUAUAUUAAGGUUUAUUAGUUAAAUUAAGAUUUAAUUGUAAAGCGCAAUUAUGUGUAUAGUCUACUUUGUAAUUAUAGCGAAUGUAAUAAUAGUAUCAUUAGUUAAUUGAACAAUAUAGCAUGUAAUCUAGUAUAAGUUCAUUAAUAUUAUAAAAAGGAACCAUCAGGAUAAGUUUGAGUUAUAUUUAACUACUUAUAAGCUUGUAUACUUGAUGUACAUAAAAACAGUAUUAAAAUAAAGA